CUUUGGUUCAUUUCCUUGCUUAGGUCCUGAACCAAAGCCCCUCGAGGACAAUGUGAGUCUUUCUAUUGACUUCAGUGGGCUUAGGAUCAGGCCCUUAAUGCACAGCUGCUAUCAUGCA
rnacentral:pre_miRNA from 11 species